rnacentral:snoRNA from 1 species
AAGCGCCAAUGAAUCGUUACUGAUUGUGUUUGUGCAGACAUACUUUAAAAACUGGCAAUUAGUAAAGCAUGUUCGAGCCUUAGGACAUUGAAGUCGUUGAAGGUCCUGGAAGUGGCUAUUAAC